CAGUCGCCGCGGUAAUACGUAUGUCACAAGCGUUAUCCGGAUUUAUUGGGCGUAAAGCGCGUCUAGGCGGUUAAUUAAGUCUGAAGUUAAAGGCUGUGGCUUAACCAUAGUACGCUUUGGAAACUGUUUAACUUGAGUGCAAGAGGGGAGAGUGGAAUUCCAUGUGUAGCGGUGAAAUGCGUAGAUAUAUGGAGGAACACCGGUGGCGAAAGCGGCUCUCUGGCUUGUAACUGACGCUGAGGCUCGAAAGCGUGGGGAGCAAACAGGAUUAGAUACCCCAGUAGUCCCUGUCUCUUAUACA
rnacentral:rRNA from 1 species